GGCUGCUGUGAGAAAUCAGCAGCCUGAGGAGCUCUUGGGGAUCUCUGAGGGAGACAGGCAGGAGGAGCUGUGAACCUGCUUCCACUGCAGGCACGCAGCCUCCUCCUAAGUCCCUGCAAGUGGGAGUAGCCAAUGCAGCCGCUCUCCUGCAGGUCAGAGAUCUAGACAGCCCGCGAGAGGAAAGGGGCUGGACCCUCAUCGCUGCUCAAAGCAGAUGGGAGCGUCUGCCCCCGUGCCCCCAGUGCUGCCGACCCCUGCAGUGUCCCCUACAGUGUCCGCGAGUAAUGGGUUCGAGGCUCUCGCAUGGGAGAGGGAUGAAGGUCUGCAAAGUAGCCCAAACUCAUGCCCUGAGAAGCUCGUUGAGAAUGCAGGGAGUAACAAGCAUAGGGUGCGCGGCCAGUCAGGGCACUGCAUCAAUAGCAGUGCCACCAAAAAAGGGCAGAGUGUCUUAAUGACUGGGUACUCCUUGCUGGGGGG
ensembl:lncRNA